GAUGAACGCUAGCGGCAGGCCUAACACAUGCAAGUCGAGGGGCAUCGAGAUGUAGCAAUACAUUGUCGGCGACCGGCGCACGGGUGCGUAACGCGUAUGCGACCUACCUAUAACAGGGGGAUAACCCAGAGAAAUUUGGACUAAUACCCCAUAUUAUUAUUGAGCUGCAUGGUUUGAUAAUGAAAGACUUUGGUUGGUUAUAGAUGGGCAUGCGUGACAUUAGCUAGUUGGUAAGGUAACGGCUCACCAAGGCGACGAUACAUAGGGGGACUGAGAGGUUAACCCCCCACAUUGGUACUGGGACACGGACCAAACUCCUACGGGAGGCAGCAGUGAGGAAUAUUGGUCAAUGGGCGCAAGCCUGAACCAGCCAAGUCGCGUGAGGGAAGACGGCCCUACGGGUUGUAAACCUCUUUUGUCGGGGAGCAAAUUGAUGACGUGUCAUCAGGUGAGAGUACCCGAGAAAAAGCAUCGGCUAACUCCGUGCCAGCAGCCGCGGU
rnacentral:rRNA from 1 species